CUACAGUGGUCAACAGUACAUCUUCAUUGGAGAAGCAUUAAACUUGCAGGAGAUGAACAACAGUUGUCGCUGAUACUCGUCUCAAUCCUGAAGAAGGAAAAGUUGUAACGUUAAUUGUUUUCAGGGUGUGACAAGUUUUUUCAUAGCUGAAAUCUUUAGGGACCUGAACAUGAGGAUCAGAUAACACAAAGAUGCCUGCCAGAGAGAUGAACAACACCUGUAUUAUUCACCACCACACAGAACCAUCUGAUGAACUCCAGCACCAAACUAGCUAUCAAUGAUACAGAUGGAACUAACUAGCAGCACCAAACUAGUUAUGAGAGAAGAUGGAACUGACUACUGUAGUUUUAGUCUUAGUUUAAGUCUGUCUGCAAUGCUGUGCAUUCUGUACUAUAAGCUUCUUGCAAAACCUAUAUUUGCAUGCUUUUUUUUUUUUUCAACAAGUCGGCUGUCUCCCACUUAGGCAGGAUGACCCAAAAAGAAAGAAAAUCCCCAAAACGAAAAUACUUUCAUCAUCAUUCAACAUUUUCACCUCACUCAUAAUCACUGUUUUUGCAGAGGCACCCAGAUACAACAGUUUAGAAGCAUAUAUAAAGAUACAAUAUCAGGGCCCCAAUUAUAUAUAUACUGUCCUAUUAUACAUCCCUCCAAACUGCCAAUAUCCCAAACCCCUCCUUUAAAGUGCAGGCAUUGUAAUUCCCAUUUCCAGAACUCAAGUCCAGCUAUAUAAAAAUAACCGGUUCCCCUGAAUUCCUUCACGAAAUAUUACCCUGCUCACACUCCAACAGCUUGUCAGGUCCCAAAAACCAUUCGUCUCCAUUCACUCGUAUCUAACACACUCAUGCACGCUUGCUGGAAGUCUAAGCCCCUCACCCACAAAACCUUUCCGAGGACGACCCCCUACCCCGGCUUCCUUCCCCUACAGAUUUAUAGUCUCCAUGUCAUUCUACUUUGAUCCAUUCUCUCUAAAUGACCAAACCACCUCAACAACCCCUCUUCAGCCCUCUGACUAAUACUUUUAUUAACUCCACACCUCCUAAUUUCCAUACUUCGAAUUCUCUGCAUAAUAUUUACACCACACGUUGCCCUUAGACAGGACAUCUCCACCGCCUCCUCGCUGCAGCACUUACAACCCAAGCCUCACACCCAUAUAAGAGUGUUGGUGCCACUAUACUUUCAUUCCCUUCUUUGCCUCAAUUGAUGACGUUUUUUGUCUCCACAUAUACCUCAACGUACCACUCGCCUUUUUUUCCCUCGUCAAUUCUAUGGUUAACCUCAUCCUUCAUAAACCCAUCCACUGACACAUCAACUCCCAAAUAUCUGAAAACAUUCACUUCUUCCAUACUCCUCUCCAAUGUGAUGUCCAAUUUUUCUUGAUCUAAAUCAUUUGAUACCCUCAUCACCUUACUAUUAUCCAUGUUCACUUUCAACUUUCUACCUUUACACACCCUCCCAAACUCGUCCACUAACCUUUGCAAGUUUUCUUUAGAAUCACCCAUAAGCGCAGUAUCAUCAGCAAAAAGUAAUCAUGUCAACUCCCAUUUUGUAUUUGAUUCCCCCUAUUUUAUUUUUUAAUGCAAUGGCUGUCUCCUGCCAAGGCUUGGUGACCCAAAAAUUUAAUAUUAUUAAUAACUGGGAAUAAAAUUAAAAAUAUUCAUUAAAAAAAAUGUUGUUUAGCUAUACACCUAGACAGCAAACUAAAAAUUCAACACUUACCACCAGCACACAUCAAACACAAUUUCUAAGAGUGGGCAUUUUUUAAAAAUUACUUCAUAUGUAUAUAUAGACACCUCAGUUAAUACUACUUACUCUGUACUCUCAAAUCUAUCCUUAUCUGCUGUAUGACCCAUACAGGUUCAGCAUGUAAUCUGAUUAUAUUGUAUUUAUUAUUACCUCAUUGAGGGAUAUAUGUGCAUGGGGAACUACAGAUGCAAAUGACUUAAAACCCACUGUAAUUCAAUAAAAAUCUGUUGCCAGAAUGAUCCCUCAAAGGUUUAAAUUUGCUUAACAUACAAAAUAUCUAAAUUUACUUUGGUCUCACUCUAAUUAAGCGUUAUUAAUUAAUCAUUAUAAUCUGGUACGUACUACUAUUUUUUUUAUAAUAUCACUGCUGUUUUAAUAUAUAGUUUUGGUACUUAAUCUUUUCACCUACUAAUCUUAUUUUCAGACCUUUGAAAUACCUAUAAAGGAUUUCGAGAGUUUUCCUACCCCUGCAGCCUGGCCCUAGGCCAGGCUGAUAAACAUAUAUUAACAUAAAUUAUACAGCUACAUAGUGUCAAACAGUUUUCAGUUCUGGUUCGUCUGCCAAAAAUCCUCUGCAUAACCAUAAUGUUAGAAAAAAAUGUUACCAAAUUUUGCAGCGACUGUACUUUUUUAAAUUUAAUUUUCAGUUUCAUUUUGCUAUUAUUAAAUAAUUUCUUCUGGCCUACAGGUAAGACUAGCAAAAAAUCCAAAACUCCCAAGCCCCAGUUAGAGAUUAUCCCUACAUCUAUUUCAAAAUACUCCCUGAGAGGUAAUCUCAGUAAUAAAUUUACCAGAAAAACAAAGCAAGAAGUAAAACAAAUAGAGUUGAGAAUCCUUUAUCCAAAAAUACUUGGGGCCGAAAGUGUUUCAAAUUUCAUGUUUUGGAAUAUUUGUAUAUUUGCAUCUAUAAAAUGGGGAUAACAAAAAGAUUAGGUGAUGAAAGAUUGGAUAUCAGAUUGGAGGGAGAGAGUAUGGAGGAGGUGAAUGUAUUCAGAUAUUUGGGAGUGGACGUGUCAGCGGAUGGGUCUAUGAAAGAUGAGGUGAAUCAUAGAAUUGAUGAGGGGAAAAGGGUGAGUGGUGCACUUAGGAGUCUGUGGAGACAAAGAACUUUGUCCUUGGAGGCAAAGAGGGGAAUGUAUGAGAGUAUAGUUUUACCAACGCUCUUAUAUGGGUGCGAAGCAUGGGUGAUGAAUGUUGCAGCGAGGAGAAGGCUGGGGGCAGUGGAGAUGUCAUGUCUGAGGGCAAUGUGUGGUAUGAAUAUAAUGCAGAGAAUUCGUAGUUUGGAAGUUAGGAGGAGGUGUGGGAUUACCAAAACUGUUGUCCAGAGGGCUGAGGAAGGGUUGUUGAGGUGGUUCGGACAUGUAGAGAGAAUGGAGCAAAACAGAAUGACUUCAAGAGUGUAUCAGUCUGUCAGUCUGUAGUGGAAGGAAGGCGGGGUAGGGGUCGGCCUAGGAAAGGUUGGAGGGAGGGGGUAAAGGAGGUUUUGUGUGCGAGGGGCUUGGACUUCCAGCAGGCAUGCGUGAGCGUGUUUGAUAGGAGUGAAUGGAGACAAAUGGUUUUUAAUACUUGACGUGCUGUUGGAGUGUGAGCAAAGUAACAUUUAUGAAGGGGUUCAGGGAAACCGGCAGGCUGGACUCGAGUCCUGGAGAUGGGAAGUACAGUGCCUGCACUCUGAAGGAGGGGUGUUAAUGUUGCAGUUUAAAAACUGUAGUGUAAAGCACCCUUCUGGCAAGACAGUGAUGGAGUGAAUGAUGGUGAAAGUUUUUCUUUUUCGGGCUACCCUGCCUUGGUGGGAAUCGGCCAGUGUGAUAAUAAUAAUAAUAAAAUGGGACAGCUUGGGGAUGGGACCCAGGUCUAAACACUGUAUUGUACUGUACAGGCACUGUACCAAAAAACAUGAUCACUGCUUAAUAAAAGAAGAUAAGUGCAGGCCCAGACUAUGCUGUUAGAUUUUCACCAGCAACAAUCUUGGCAAAAACAUCUAUGAAUUUCUCUGAUAUUUCAUGAUCAGCAGAUGAUUUAUCACAACUAAUCUUUAAAUAUUUAAUGCUGUGCCAUUUCUUAAAUUUUUGUAACCAGCUUCUGGAUAUUCAGUUACCUUCAAUAUUUAGUCUGUCAUGAUAGUUUAUUUGCUUGUUUCGUGAUCAGCAUUCCAUUAAGCGGCAUUAUGCUCACUCCAACACCGAUGAAUCCACUCCAUCAAUACACAAUCAAGAUCUUCAUUUUUCUCUUUAUGCAAUGUUUUUCUAUUUGUCAUUAACUUCUGUUCAUCACUUUCAGCACAGAACUUCAACAAUUUGUCCCGUUUUUAUAGGCAAUAGUGGUUGUUCCAACACCAAACUUCUCAGUAAGACACUUCACACUUACACCACUCUCAAGUUUUCCUAACAAUAUGACUUUCUGUGAUACAGAUAAAUAUAAAUGCUUCCUCUUUCUUUUACUAUUACCCAUAGGCCUUUUUGACAUUUUCAACAAUAUCUUCGUACAACAGAGCACAAAACACAGUCAUCAGUGAGUAUUGCUGCUGACAACAAACUGGCGCUAGUACAAAUAUAAAGCUCGUCUGUUUUGGCUCAAGAGAUGGAGGAGUGAGCCUCCACUACAUCUUGCGCUGAAUGAUCCAUUUGUGGUGCAUCAUGUUUUUGGAUUUGGAUAAAGGAUUUUGUACUGUAUACCUUCACUUGUAUACAGUAUAAGAAAGCUGGACAUGUUUUUUUUUUUUUAACAAGUUGGCCAUCUCCCACUGAGGCAGGGUGACCCAAAAAGAAAGAAAAUCCCCAAAAAGAAAAUACUUUCAUCAUCAUCAUUCAACACUUUCACCUCACUCACAUAAUCACUGUUUUUGCAGAGGUGCUCAGAACACAACAGUUUAGAAGCGUAUACGUAUAAAGAUACACGACGUAUCCCUCCAAACUGCUAAUAUCCCGAACUCCUCCUUUAGAGUGCAGGCACUGUACUUCCCAUUUCCAGGACUCAAGUCCGGCUGCAUAAAAAUAACCGGUUUCCCAGAAUCCCUUCACUAAAUAUUACCCUGCUCACACUCCAACAGAUCGUCAGGUCCCAAAUACCAUUCGUCUCCAUUCACUCCUAUCGAACACGCUCAUGCAAGCCUGCUGGAAGUCCAAGCCCCUCGCCCACAAAACAUGUAUUAUCACUAAUUACUGCAGUGCUGUUUAAUAAAUUUAUUGAAGCCAAAAGGUUCCUUAGCUAAGCUCUCACUACUCUACAAGUGAAGACUCAUCUGAAAUAAGUAACUAAUUCUACUAUACUUAAAAUAUUUGAAACAAAAAAUAUUAAAGUGAAUAUAUGACUUUGUAAAACAAAAUGAUAUUCCUAAUCAGUUUGGUUUCAAGUCUAAAAAUGUACAAAUGAUAUAAUAACAAAAAUGUGAGAUUUAAUCUACACAUCCCUAAAAAACUAUGAAUAUUCAA